rfam:Anaerolineaceae bacterium 4572_5.2 ex4572_5.2_scaffold_6205, whole genome shotgun sequence.
GGAUUUGAGAGGAGCUGCUCCUAGUACGAGAGGACCGGAGUGGACAGACCUCUGGUGUGCCAGUUGUCAUGCCAAUGGCAUCGCUGGGUAGCUACGUCUGGCAAAGAUAACCGCUGAAAGCAUCUAAGUGGGAAGCUUGCCUCAAGAUAAGAUCCCUAUAAUCCCAUUAAGGGAGUAAGACCGCAGGAAGACUACCUGCUAUAUAGGCGGCGUGUGUAAGCGCAGCAAUGCGUUGAGCUAAGCCGUACUAAUGGUCGAGCGCUGAUCCUG